GCCUAACCCUAAACAUAGAUAAUAACCUACAAUAUUAUCCGCCAGAGAACUACGAACGAAAAGUUUAAAACUCUAAGGAUUUGGCGGUACCCUAUACCGGCCUAGAGGAGCCUGUCCUAUAAUCGAUACUCCACGCUUUACCCCACCACCCCUAGCAAAUAAACCAGCCUAUAUACCGCCGUCGUCAGCCUACCUUGUGAAAGAAACACAGUAAGCACAAUAGUUAACAACUAACACGUCAGGUCAAGGUGUAGCACACGGGGCGGAAGAGAUGGGCUACAUUUUCUAUAUCAGAAAACACGAACAGCACAGUGAAACCUGUUCUCAAAGGCGGAUUUAGCAGUAAGGUUAAAAAGAGUUUUUGCCUUAAGCCCGCUCUAGGGUGCGC
rnacentral:rRNA from 2 species